CUUCUGCGCUGCUGACCAAUCCCGCGCCGCCCGCCGCCGCUGGCCCCGCCCCGUCCAAGUGCUGGGCCUCGCGAAAGCGGGCGCGGCGGGCCAAUCGAAAGGAGGAACGGUGCGCCUUCUUUCCUGCCCACUGAGGAAUCCAUGUGCCAGUCUGCGGGUCCGAAUACCCGGGUGACCAAGACUGUCUGAAGAGCUACUAGGCUGUCCUCAGAAGACACAAUGUCUCACGCGUUUUAGUUUUAUUACCCUUUCUCCAGACUUCCUGGGCUUCGUUCAUUGUGCUUUGUUCGUAUUAGGGUCAUUUUCAUGAAGCUGACCCUUCUGUCUCAUCUGUGCAUUUGGGGCCUAUCCUUAGCAAGAUUAUUUCUUCCUGUGCAGCAUCACACAGCACGAGCGGUCACAGGCACCGCAGUGACCUCCGAUGGCCCAGGAGUGACCCCAGUUCCUGCCAGCCCUGGGAGGAAAAAAGCAGCUCGUCUCAUGCCCCCGCCCUUGACACACGAGACAAUCCACGUCUGCUGGCAUAUUAUCAUACGUUAGCAGAUCUCUGAGAGCCAAACUGCAGGCCACAGCAGCUGGGCCGGGGCCUGGAGCGGGCCUGGGAUCCUCCCCCUGGAUGGGACCAGCCUGCCUCGAAUUCCCCACACACUGUGUUCCAGGCACUUCCCCCUUCAUUAGCACUGUGUGUGCCAUUCACCACCCUCUCCAUCGCUGUCACCGCGGUCCUUCCCGUGAGAAGUGCACCCAGGGGCCUGCCUUUAUAAAUAAGUCCGUGGUGUUUGUUGGAGGAUGACGGGAGCAGAGAGAGCAGCCUUGGAAUUAUCACCCGCUUGGAAUGAUGUCAGAUCAAGCCCUGGGAAGCCUUAUACUGCCCAGCCUUCCUGACUGUCUCUCUCUCUCUCUCUCACACACACACACACACACACAC